GGUCACAAAGGCUUACAUUUUGCUUUGAUGUCUUCAAGCGCUAAAGCUCUUCUGUAGAUCCAAGAUCCGUCUGUCCGUCAAACAAGGGCCUCCGGUGAAAGAAAAAGACCGCAGAUGGGGAUUGAAGAUGCGCUCUCCGUACGAUUCCAAAUGGCAAAAAGCAAGGCUUCCUCUACGACGUUCGACAACGUAACGAAAUGGCUAGGAAGCUGCUACCCCGAGCCUACACCGCCAAGGAUCAGAAGGCUUUUCAGCAACCUACCGCAUGUGCGAGGCGAAUGGAGGACAUCUGGGCUGUAACCCGUCCCAUCGUCACUGAGGAAUCACAACCAUCUGAUGAUGUUCAUUUCCGAUCAACAGAGAAAGCAUUUUAAAAAUUCAAACGAUCCACUGCCGGAUUCACGUCGACUCUUCCGACUAGAGCCACGCUGCUUCUCCAGCAAGACGAAAGGAAAAGACAAACUUCCCUGGGAAUUUCUGCUGCCGAUUCUAGGAUAAGAGGUAUGGAUCACGAUUUCUGAUUGCCAAAGCCUCAUGGAUGCCCGGAACAGCUCUUACACGUUCAAAUCGACACGGCGUUCUCCGGAAUACGAGAGCUCGAUGCAAUCCAAGAAUAAACCGCACUGUGUAUCCAUCUCUUCUGAAGUAAUAUCGUGCUUUACCAAGAUUAAAUUUCAAGGGAAAAGAGACCAAUUUUGACUGGGAAUCUCCGGACCUGUAAAACCCAGGGACUAAAUCUCUGGCAAAUAUGUCCCUCUUGCCCAAGUCUUCAAAUCUAGCACAAAGCAGGGAGUGAGCAUCCACCAAGGCACUUCAGGAGUCAACGAUUCUCUUUUGCCUGAAAUACUGGACGGUUUGGGGGAUUUCCCCUGAACCGUGGAACUUCCUGUGCCUAGAGAAACCUGGCACGGUGCUCCUUUCCCAAACCCCUUGGCAUCCCCCAAUUGCUAAUGAUGAAGCCUGCAAACUAGAAACUGCUCACGCAACAAAGAACUUGAGAGAACUUGCUCAAGGAUAAGAAAAUGGCAGUUAAAAUCCAGAGAAUGGGAUUGGACAAUGAAUGUACCGUUAAUGGUUCUUUUUCUCCAGAGGGAGAAUAAAUCAUCUGGUAAUGACAGAUAUGUUUAAAUCAAACUAAUCUCUAGAAGCC